GGCUGAGCUGUGAUGGGGAGAAGACAUUGUGUCUUCGAGUCGUUGAUUUCACACUGCCGAGAAAAGCCUCUAGAUAGAAAAUAGGUGCCCGUACCGCAAACCGACACAGGUAGUCAAGAUGAGAAUUCUAAGGUGAGCGAGCGAACUCUCGUUAAGGAACUCGGCAAAAUGACCCCGUAACUUCGGGAGAAGGGGUGCUCUUUAGGGUUAACGCCCAGAAGAGCCGCAGUGAAUAGGCCCAAGCGACUGUUUAUCAAAAACACAGGUCUCUGCUAAACCGUAAGGUGAUGUAUAGGGGCUGACGCCUGCCCGGUGCUGGAAGGUUAAGAGGAGUGGUUAGCUUCUGCGAAGCUACGAAUCGAAGCCCCAGUAAACGGCGGCCGUAACUAUAACGGUCCUAAGGUAGCGAAAUUCCUUGUCGGGUAAGUUCCGACCCGCACGAAAGGCGUAACGAUUUGGGCACUGUCUCAACGAGAGACUCGGUGAAAUCAUAGUACCUGUGAAGAUGCAGGUUACCCGCGACAGGACGGAAAGACCCCGUGGAGCUUUACUGUAGCCUGAUAUUGAAAUUCGGCACAGCUUGUACAGGAUAGGUAGGAGCCUUUGAAACGUGAGCGCUAGCUUACGUGGAGGCGCUGGUGGGAUACUACCCUAGCUGUGUUGGCUUUCUAACCCGCACCACUUAUCGUGGUGGGAGACAGUGUCAGGCGGGCAGUUUGACUGGGGCGGUCGCCUCCUAAAAGGUAACGGAGGCGCUCAAAGGUUCCCUCAGAAUGGUUGGAAAUCAUUCAUAGAGUGUAAAGGCAUAAGGGAGCUUGACUGCGAGACCUACAAGUCGAGCAGGGUCGAAAGACGGACUUAGUGAUCCGGUGGUUCCGCAUGGAAGGGCCAUCGCUCAACGGAUAAAAGCUACCCCGGGGAUAACAGGCUUAUCUCCCCCAAGAGUUCACAUCGACGGGGAGGUUUGGCACCUCGAUGUCGGCUCAUCGCAUCCUGGGGCUGUAGUCGGUCCCAAGGGUUGGGCUGUUCGCCCAUUAAAGCGGUACGCGAGCUGGGUUCAGAACGUCGUGAGACAGUUCGGUCCCUAUCCGUCGUGGGCGUAGGAAAUUUGAGAGGAGCUGUCCUUAGUACGAGAGGACCGGGAUGGACAUACCUCUGGUGUACCAGUUGUCGUGCCAACGGCAUAGCUGGGUAGCUAUGUGUGGACGGGAUAAGUGCUGAAAGCAUCUAAGCAUGAAGCCCCCCUCAAGAUGAGAUUUCCCAACUUCGGUUAUAAGAUCCCUCAAAGAUGAUGAGGUUAAUAGGUUCGAGGUGGAAGCAUGGUGACAUGUGGAGCUGACGAAUACUAA
rnacentral:rRNA from 1 species